rnacentral:lncRNA from 1 species
AUAUUGUGAUACGGAUUGGGCAGGUUCUCCUAUUUAUAGACGAUCUACUACAGGAUAUUGUGUUUUCCUUGGAGGAAACAUUAUCUCAUGGAAAAGUAAGAAACAAAGUGUAGUGGCUCGAUCAACAGUUGAAGUUGAAUAUAGGGCAAUGGCUUCAUUAACAUGUGAACUUAUAUGGGUGAAGCAGUUCCUUCAAGAGCUUAGCUUCUGUGACAUCCAGAGUAUGAAGAUGUAUUGUGAUAACCAAGCUGCUCUUCACAUUGCAUCAAAUCCAGUGUUUCACGAGAGAACCAAACAUAUAGAAAUUGAUUGUCAUUUUGUUCGCGAAAAAUUAUUGUCAAAAGAAAUAUGUACUGAAUUUGUUGGAUCAAAUGACCAACUCGCAGAUGCAUUGACUAAGUCAUUGAGGGGACCUCGGAUUGAGUUUAUUUGUUCCAAGCUUGGAACAUACAAUCUGUAUGCUCCAGCUUGAGGGGGAGUGUUAGAAUCAUUACACAUAGCUAUCAUCAUUUAGGCUAGUACCUAGUUCUGUACCUAGUAGUCUAGUGCAGACUCUUGGUAUUACAUGUACUCUUGUGUUUUCAUUAUAAAUAGAAGAUAAUGAGAGGGAUCUUCUAAGCCCUCAAGAUUAUAUUUUUAUCAGUUUUAAUCUCAAGUAGUACAAACCUCAGUUUCUAUACUGAUUUUGUAAGGUUGAAUUAGACUUAAAAUCCACUUUCAAGGAGUGUGUAUCCCUCCUUUGCUCAUCACUAACUUUGUGAUGUUCUACUUGCUCAUUGUAACUUCAUCUUGUGCAUAGUUUAUUAACUAUUUUUCACAAGCUGUAGUCUUCCUAGAUGUUCAUCUCCAUUGCCUUCAUUAAGACUUGAGAAUAUAAGCAAAGGGAGAACAAUAUAUUUUUAAGAGCUUGCAAAUGUCUCCCUUAGGUGCUCAUAUUUAUUUACAACAUAUCUUUGAUACAAUGAUGAGAAAGGAAAGUGUAAAUGAUAAGUAAUCGUACCCAAAACAACUUUGAGUAAAGCUUACUUAACAUAUUUUGAAGUUAUUCUAAUAGUCCCUCAAGCAAAAAAAAUUGAAUGUACCAAGUUUGAAACAAAUAAAUUCAAUUUGAGGUUCUCUCAAUGAUUAUGUCAACAAAUUUGGAAGUUGAUCAAUGGAUCCGACAAAUCCAAUGCCAAUUUCCUUCGAUAACAAAUUUUCUCGAAUGUAAUGACAGUUUAUUGGCAUUAAUUCAACUCUAUUCUAACAAACUUUCCUUUGGCAUGUUUUAUGUAGUGUGCAGUUUUGUUCAUUUUUCAACUUCCAUAUGCAUCUCAUUUCAUAUGCAUGCAGCUAAUUAAUUUUACCCUUUAGAUGAUGCUCAAUUAUCCCCCUCACCUCGCAUGAACAAGGGUUGUGGUUUUAUUGUGUUCUUGAUUUCCUGGCUAAGAAAAUGUUGUUUGUGUCACUCAGGCACGUAUGGCAUCUGCAACCACGCUAGUGACCAUGAUGGAUGGUCUGUCUUCGAUUUUCCUACAAGUAGCGGAAUAUAAGGAGUCUAACAAAUUUGGAUCUUUUAUGGCACUUUCUAGCUCCCUUGGCAAGAUUUUACUGGAACUUCAUAGAGGUAUCUAUAACAUUUGCAGUAACUUAUUGAAUAGAUUGUGGCUUACAGACAUCUGUUAUGUGCUUUUGAUUUUUUUCUUCUCUCUUCAUUAUUUAUUUACAUAUUUUGCUUAAUUUUACACUUUUUGUCUCUUUUCCAUUGAUUUGUAGGUCUUCUUUACCUAAUAGAGCAUGAAGCUCAUACUAAAUUGCUGGUUUUGUUAUUCAGGAUUAUCAAGCUUUUGAUAUCAUCUACACCGUAUGUUUCUUUGCUUCUCAUAUUAUUCUAUUUGUUAAAUUUAGUUAUAAUUGAAAUGGUAAGUUUUUCGUUGUUUUUCUUUUACUCAUAAAUACGUAAAAUAUUCUUUUGGUUUUGGUUAUUGGUUCUCUUAUACUUUCAUGAGAGCCAAAAAAGAUCUUUUUAGAUAAUUGCAAAGGGGGACUUGAGAUAGAAGUAUGGAAAAAUGCUUAAGAGUUUAUUUCAUCUCUUAGCUCAUACAUUCAUACAUAGGAGUUCCUCCAUCUAAUAUUUAGAAAAGCAAUGAUUAAUCCUACUGUACAGAGCAGAUAGGAAACUAGUUGCACAAUUCUGACACAUGCUUGAGCUUGAGUAAAUAGAUGGUAUGUACCAAGCUUGAAACAUAUAAACUGAAUUGAAAGUCCUCUUCAGGACUUAAUCAAAAUCAAUUUCUUCUACUAUUAAUUUUUGGUUUUGGUCCAUUGGACCAUGCACAUGUCUACCAUCAAUCUUACCUAUUUCUUGUAGGAUGUCUAAGGCAUAUUUUUUGAGGAUUUAAAAUACCUUCAUUUCAUUGAGCUAUGUCAAUAGUUCAAAAGUAUUUAAGUAAGUUCAUUUAAAUGAGUAAAUAGAUUGUAUGUACUAAGCUUGAAACAUAUAAACCGAAUUGAAAGUCCUCUUCAGGACUUGAUCAAAAAUCAAUUUCUUCUACUAUUAAUUUUUGGUUUUGGUCCAUUGGACCAUGCACAUGUCUACCAUCAAUCUUACCUAUUUCUUGUAGGAUGUCUAAGGCAUAUUUUUUGAGGAUUUAAAAUACCUUCAUUUCAUUGAGCUAUGUCUCAAUAGUUCAAAAGUAUUUAAGUAAGUUCAUUGGUUUGAAAGUGAUUGCAUAAAUGCUUUUUUAAAUGGGAAAUUGUAGUGACAUCAUUACCUUUAAUGAUUAGAUUUUCAACAUACACAAUUUAGUAUACAAAUCAAAUGAUCAACCUCAUUAUGUUUUAGCCCAAAAGUUUGUACUCUUUGGCGGAUUUCCAAACCAGGACAAUUUAUACACUAACCCACACUACCCUUGGACAAGAAACCUAAGAGGUUGCUUUAUGUAGAUUUUCUUUUCUAGAUCUCCAUGAAGAAAUACAUUCUUGAUAUCUGUUGGAAUCAUUACAUAUAGCUAUCAUCAUUUAGGCUAGUCUGUAGAGUUACUAAUGAGCUGUACCUAGUAGUCUGGUGCAGACUCUUGGUAUUACAUGUACUCUUGUGCUUUUCAUUAUAAAUAGAAGAUAAUGAAAGGGAUCUUUCAAGCCCUCAAGAAUAUUUCUUAUCAGUCUUAAAUCUCAAGUUGGUAUCAGAGCAGGUUCAUCCUGCUCUGGUUUCUGUCCUCAGUUGUCCACCAGCACUGUCGCUGCUAUUCGCACCUGUUCGGUGCCGUUCGCCGUCGUCCUCGACUGUCUCACUAUUAUCUGCAGCUGUCAACUGCAGUUUGAAGUUCUUAAAUUUGGUUGUCCACCAUUCGCCGCCGUCCGCUGUUGUCCACCACUGUCCACUGCCGUCCAACGCCGUCCGCCGCCGGCCACCGUCACAAUUCCGUCUGGCGACCACUGGAUCUAGUUCGCCUCUUCAAGCGACAACCAACCCCACCGGUGGGUUCGCCUGAAUCUCCUCCACGCUCCGCCACGCACAACAUCUUUGUGCGCUGCGAACAGGCGUGUGCCGUCCAUGCGCCACCCUCUGCUCACCAGAAAGUCACCGCGACUCCUCCAUAGCUGUCGCUUAGGCCCCCUCUCUCGGUUCUGACCCUCAAAUCCUAGUUCCCGUGAAGACCCGAAGCUCCUCUUGAAGAAAACCGAGGGUUGUUUGGUUGAUCACGGUCACUGUUGCUCACUGUCCCGAAGCUUCUUCUUCUUUUUUAUCCAGAAUGGCGUCUGGAAGUGUUCUUUCCUUAUCUGGAAGUCCCUCGAUUACUUCCGAAAAGCUAAACGGGAAAAAUUAUUUGUCUUGGUCUGCAGCUGUGGAAAUGUGGUUCCUCGAUCAAGGUCAUUAUGACCACCUUGAAUAGGAUGGAAGCCAAGUACCUUCAGGAAAAGCUGAACAAUGGAAAUAAGCAGAUUUCCAGCUGUGUGCCCUAUUGUGGCAGUAUGUGGAACCACGACUUUUGAUAUCUCUUAGAGCCUUCAGAACUUGUCACUCGUUUUGGAAGAAAGCUCAAAGCAUUUAUGCUAAUGAUAUUCAACGUCUCUAUGAUACAGCAAACAAGCUUGCAAGUCUCAAAAUGACAGAUCAUGACAUGGUCUCCUUCAUGACUGAAGCCCAUGCAGCUGUGGAAGAAUUGAGAAUGUUCUUGGAAGAUGAAUCUUCGGAAGACAUCAAGAAGAAGCUUGACAAGUAUUAUAUGGUGAUGAUCCUCCGUGCUUUGCAUCCAGACUUGAAUCACAUCAAGACCAACUUCUGACAAGCCAUGAGGUCCCAACCUUGGAAGCCUUGACCACACGUCUUCUUCGUGUUCCAGCACCUCAAUCUCAAGAAGCUCAUGAAACACUAGAACCAUCUGUCAUGGUUGCCACACGAGGAAGAGGAGGACAUGGCACUAGAGGAGGAGGACAUGGAGGUUGGGGACGUCCACAGUGCACUUACUGUAAGAGGCCGGGUCACACCCAAGAAAAUUGUUACUCCUUGCAUGGCUUUCUUUCAAAAACAGCCAAUAUCUCUAAGGCUGAAACUUCCACUUCCAACUCCAAGUUCACUGAGGAAGAGUAUCAAGAAAAUCUGCGAUUAAAGUCUAACAGCUUGGCGUAAUCAUCUUAGUCCCCAAGUAUGUCCACAACUUGCAUUUCUCAAUCCAUGGAAGGUCCAAAUUCAUGGGUAAUUGACUCGGGUGCUUCUGACAACAUCUCUGGUAAUACCUCAUUGUUCUCAACCCUUUCCCUCCAAGAAAAACCCCAUUUCAUUACCCUUGCCAAUGGCUCUAAAACUUNUUCAAAGGGAGUNGGUCAAGUCUCCCUAUCUCCCUCUCUCACUCUGAAAUCUGUUCUUUUUGUCCCUCACUGUCCAUUCAAUUUAAUUUCCUUAAGUCAGUUAACCAAAAUGUUACAUUGUUCAAUAACCUUUGAUUCAAACUCUUUUGUCAUACAGGAGCGUGGCUCGGGGCGACAGAUUGGAAAAGGAUAUGAAGNUGGAGGUUUAUACCAUUUUGGAUCUCGUCAACGGGUAUNCUGUGUUGCUGCUCUUCCUCCUAAAGUGUUACAUGAUCGGUUGGGCCAUCCUCACUUGUCAAAGUUAAAAAAGAUGUGUCCUGAACNUAGUAGUCUUCAGACUUUAGAAUGCGAGUCUUGUCAACUAGGAAAACAUGUCAAAUNUGUCUUUCCUAAAAAGUCUCACUCAAUGUGUACUUCUAGUUUUUCUAUUNUUCAUUCUGAUGUCUGGGGACCUAGUCGCGUCUCUUCUUUUGGUUUUAGGUAUUUUGUUACUUUUAUUGAUGAAUAUUCUAGAUGUACUUGGGUUUAUCUAAUGAUAGAUCGCUCUGAAUUGUUACCCAUUUUUACCUCUUUUUUGAAUGAAAUCAAGAACCAAUUUGGUCAAGUAAUGAAAAUCUCUAGAAGUGAUAAUGCUAAAGACUAUUUCUCAUCCUCUUUCUCGGCAAUCCUUAGUUCUCAUGGUAUUUUGCAUCAGUCCACUUGUCCUCAUACACCCCAGCAAAAUGGUAUAGCCGAAAGGAAAAAUAGACACUUGGUUGAAACGGCUCGUACCCUUUUGCUUGGUGCCCACAUUCCUGUUCAUCACUAGGGGGAUGCCAUCUUAACUGCAUGUUUUCUUAUCAAUAGGAUGCCCUCCUCCUCUCUCAAUAAUAAAGUCCCUUUCUCCAUCCUCUUUUCGAAUGAUCCUCUCUUUCACACCCCUCCUCGAGUUUUUGGUUGUGUAUGUUUUGUUCAUGACAUGUCUCCGGGGCUAGACAAGUUGAUAGUCCUAUGGAUCCAAAUCAAAAAUUAACAACAAAAGAACGUGAGUUAUUUUCCGACUCCGAGAGAUAUAGGAGGCUAGUGGGAAAACUAAUCUAUCUCACUAUUACAAGGCCAGAUCUUUCUUUUGCAGUUGGAGUGGUUAGUCAGUUCAUGCAAGCUCCGUGUGUUGGUCAUUGGAAUGCUAUCAUUCGGAUUCUAAGGUAUGUGAAAAAGGCUCCCGGGCAAGGGCUGUUGUAUGAAGACAACGGAAACCUUCAGGUAUUAGGAUAUUGUGAUGCUGAUUGGGCAGGUUCUCCUAUUGAUAGACGGUCUACUACAGGAUAUUGUGUUUUCCUUGGAGGAAACAUCAUCUCAUGGAAAAGUAAGAAACAAAAUGUAGUGGCUUGAUCAACAGCUAAAGCUGAAUAUAUGACAAUGGCUUCAUUAACAUGUGAACUUAUAUGGGUGAAGCAGUUCCUUCAAGAGCUUAGCUUCUGUGACAUCCAGAGUAUGAAAAUGUAUUGUGAUAACCAAGCUGCUCUUCACAUUGCAUCAAAUCCAGUGUUUCACGAGAGAACCAAACAUAUAGAAAUUGAUUGUCAUUUUGUUCGGGAAAAAUUAUUGUCAAAAGAAAUAUGUACUGAGUUUAUUGGAUCAAAUGACUAACUCGCAGAUGUAUUGACUAAGUCAUUGAUGAACCUCGGAUUGAGUUUAUUUGUUCCAAGCUUGGAACAUACAAUCUGUAUGCUCCAGCUUGAGGGGGAGUGUUGGAAUCAUUACACAUAGCUAUCAUCAUUUAGGCUAGUCUGUAGAGUUAUUAAUGAGCUGUACCUAGUAGUCUGGUGCAGACUCUUGGUAUUACAUGUACUCUUAUGCUUUUCAUUAUAAAUAGAAGAUAAUGAGAGGGAUCUUUCAAGCCCUCAAGAAUAUUUCUUAUCAGUCUUAAAUCUCAAGUAUAUCUAACUGAUGGAGAGCCAAUGGCAAAUAGUGGCGAUGACCAAGAAAAGUCUAAAUGUGGGAAUUUU